AGUUACGUAGAUCGGUUUUUGGGAAACCAAUUCCGUGAAAAAUUUUUGGGAGUGUGAGUGAUGUGCUUUGAGUCGGUAGUGUUGGACUCUGACUCUGUGGACCCUUCGUAGGUUCGGUUGACUAUCCUGCGCAUCUUAGGGGCAGACGCGAUAGUGACACAUAUGGGUAUUUCGAUCCGAAGUCGGUCUAGUGGUGCAUGCUCGGUAAUGUUCUCUCCACCCUCUCUCUGCACUUCUUGCAUUAUUCGCUAUUGUUGAGCCUGACACCAUGCGACCUUGAUUCUUAUUGCUCUACUUAGUUAUUUCCUAUACUUGUUGGUCGUGAUCUAGAAGUAGAUCGGUUGUUGACUAUACUCGCGCAUGAUAUUAUACCAGUUGUGACCUAGUUGGUCAGUUUCUAUGACUCCUGUUGUUCGAUGACCUAUUUGGUCGGUAUACGUACCCUGAGGGGUUUGAUUGUUGGCUACUUGCCGACGGCUGGCUAUUGAGCAUAUUUGUAUCGAUUGUCACUGCUCGUGAGUAUUUUACGUACACCAGCGGUUUGGCCACCACAACAAUAUUCUUUUUUGGAAAAGUGGUCACACUUCUGCCCGUGACCCAGUAGCCCACUGCUAGGGUUAUAUGCCAUUUGAGCAGUCGUAGCACUUGCCUGAGGUCUUUAGAUCGACACGACGGAUUUCGAUUGAGUAUUUUGGACCGAUCAUUCGAUUGAUGCAUUUUAUUUACAGUAGCGAUAAUUGCACAUGUAUCUUGUUUUCUAUUUUAAAUUGCUACUAUAUUACCUUUCAUAGUCAUACAUUUGGUUACUAGUGAGUACAGUCGCCCUUGUCGGCUUGUGGUAUCCACUGGGAGAUCCUUGUUGGUUUCUCACCCUCCCCCCGUUUCAGGUGAUCUUAGAGGUAUGGGUCUGGACGAGGCGUGAGGCGCGUAUCUUGCAAGCGAUAGAGGUCCCGGGUUGGUAGCAUCUUUGGUUCUAAACUUAUCCUUUUCCUUUAAUGAAUAAGUAGACUAUUUGUGGUUCAGUUUAGUUUUACUUGGAUGUAUUUUUGUUUUGAGAUUUUUUUUUUGAGAGAUAUUUUGUUUUGAGAUUUUAAAUCAAAUGUUGUGGAGACAUCAUGGAUUUAUGUAAAUGGUUUUUUACCCCUCAUGAUAGCUAGUUUUCAAAGAUAAAAGGUUUAUAUGUGAGAAAUAGUUUUUAAAAGAUUUUUCGGCUUUUCACAAUCUUAGUGAUUCAAAAUAAGUUUUCGGGUGGAAAACACUUUCAAGUGAUAGAUGUGAAAUGUUUGUGAUUUAUAUGAUGUACAGAUGUGAAUGUAAUUGGUGAAUGGAUGUGGUUGUGACUUAUAUUAUGUGCGACGCCGUGCAAAAAUAGGAGAAACUCUAUCCGUGUGGACAAAGGAUUCUCUAUAAUUGUGGCGGGUCUGUCAUCCCUAGGGUCAAGAUUUUAAAAAAAAAUUAGGCAAUUCCUGCUAACCUGUUGGCUUCAAAUUGAUCCUAUUUUCAAAUGGCCUUAUAAAAAGAGACCCUGGGGCAUGACACAAAAAGCUAUCAAUUAUACAAUCAAAUAACAAAUAAAUUUCUUAUAAGCUGAGAUGUCAUUUUUGAUGAAGAUAGCUAUUGGAAUUGAAAUGAAAGUGCACAAGGGCCAUUAGCAAUUGAGGAAAGAAAGUCGCUUGCACUUCCAAAUGAAGAAGCAGAAGUUUUGCUAGCCACUCCAAAAAGCCAAAGGAAAAAAAAAAGUGAAAAAUCAUGUUUAUCAUUAUCAAAUUUAGAAACCCCUUCUCAAAAGGUAAAAUCAUUGAAAGAAAUUUAUGAAACUUGCAAAUUUACUUUUAUGAUUGCAGAGCUCGUAUGUUUUGAAGAAGCUUGUGAGGAAAAAGAUUGGAAGAACGGAAUGCAUGAAGAGAUGACAACUAUUGAAAAGAACAAAACUUGGAAACUUAUUGACUUGCCAAAAGAAAAAGAAGCAAUUGGCGUAAAAUGGGUUUAUCGUGUGAAGUGUAAUGCAGACAGAAAGGUUCAGAAAUAUAAAGCACGGCUUGUAGCCAAAAGCUAAGUUCAAAAACCUGAUAUUGAUUUUCUAAAACUUUUUCACUUGUUGCUCGUUUGGAAACCAUUCAAAUUAUUUUAGCUUUAGUUGCUCAAAUGAUGGCCUGUUUAUCAAUUCAAUGUUAAGUCAGCUUUUUUUAAUAGAAAUUUGGAAGAAAAUAUUUAUGUAAAGCAGCCAUAGGGUUUGUCGUUAAAGAAAAAGAGAAGAAAGUCUAGAACCUCAAGAAAGCUCUUUAUGACUUGAAGCAAGCUCCUAGAGCAUGGUAUAGUCGCCUUGAUAUCUAUCUUCGGCAACAUGACUUUCAUAGAAGUGAGAGUGAACCUACUUUAUAUGUAAAAGGUGAAAGGUAAAGAAAUUAUCAUUAUUUGUCUCCAUGACAUAUACAGAUUCAUUGGAUCUCCUUAUCCGUGAUUUUAAGAAUAUUAUGAUGUAUGAGAUUCGUUUGUCAGAUUUGAAACUUUUACAUUAUUUUUUUGGUCUUCAAGUUAUGCAAAUUGAUAAUGGUACCUUUUUAACCCAAGUAUAGUAUGUAUUGGACUUGCUCAAAAAAUUUUAGUUGCAAAAUCUUAAGGGAUUUGCAACUUCUAUGAAUCCGAAAGAAAAAUUUACAUAAGAUGUUGGGACCGAAAAAGUUGAUACACGAAUUUUCAAAAGUAUAGUUGGGGGUUUGAUGUAUUUAACACAUUCAUGUCUUGAUAUUAUGUUUUUUAUCAACUUAAUAUCCAUAUUUAUGUAUAUGAUCCUACAAAGCAUCAUCUUGGAGCCGCAAAUUGAAUUCUGGACUACAUUUAGGAAACUAUUAAUUUCGACAUUUGGUGCCACCCAACUACUAAUUUCAAAUUGGUUGCUUUUAGUGAUAGUGAUUGGGCAAGUCUCUAGAUGACAGGAACAGCACAAGUGGACGGAUCUUCAAGUUUGGAUCGGGAGAUGUCACUUGGGCAUCAAAGAAGAAAUCUACUACUGCAUUGUUCUCUAAAGCUGAAUAUAUGGAAGCAACAUCGGCUACCUGUCAUUGGAUGCAAAGAGUUUUGGAGGAUCUACAUCAAGCACAAGAGCAUCCAACAUAAAUAUAUUGCGAGAAUUAAUUGUUCAACCAUCGCAAUGACGAAGAAUUUGGUCUUCCACGGGCGCACGAAGUUGCACAUGCAUCAAAAUACGUCAGCACUUCAUCUGGGAUCUCGUUAACGAUAAGCAAAUAAAUCUACAUAAAAAAUUGUUUCACCAAUUAACAAGUUGCCUAUGAAUGACGAAAGCUCUCUCUCUUGACAAUUCUUUGAAGUUCAAAAGAGCCCUCGAUGUUACUGAAUUUGUAUCAAGGGAGAAUGUUCGAAAAUAUUGCAAAUUUGAUUAUGAUGUAUUAGUGGUCCUAUGAUAUAUAAUGCAAGUAGGGGGUGCAAGUAGUGCUAGUAGUGGGCUAAUUUAGUUAGAAGUUGAUGACUAAGCCAUAUAAAUAGUGGAGUAGUGGUUUUAACUUGUGCAAAAAGGGAGUCAUGGUGUGGAAUUUAUGCUAACUAAUUUUUACAUGCCUAGUAGAUGUAAUGGAGAAAAUGUGCUGAGUUGGGUUUUCUUGGUCCUCAUGUUUCCUUUUUCUAUUUAAAUUCUUAUUUGUAAUUCAACAAAUGUUUAAAUGAAAGUUUUUAUCGAUUUCUUCCACAUCAUUUCUGCAGCAACUUUUAUUAGUGAGCAUUAAUUAACUUUAGAAAGCUUCUUCUGCCUACAACUUUUUUUUCUUUAUUUUUAAUUUUAAACCUUUAUCCAAUUAAUUGGUAAAGAAUAAUUAAUUUUUAAUUUUUCUUGUUUAUCAUAAUUAAAUCAUUAUAAGCAAACCGGUGCAUCGUACGAGUACAAAUCUAGUUUAACUAUAAAUUAAGCAAAAGAACCGAGCCGCAAUAUCAGGGUUGUGUAAGGGGUAUUUAUCCAUACAAUAUUAAUAUUUACAAUAUUAAGUAAAUGGUCACUCAUGACGUAAAUAAAUAAAUAGUUUUGUAGACCCUCCUAGCCUUGUACACGUCCUGCAACACUAAUAAGGUAGCGCUUGGUUCGAAAACAAGGGGGAAUAAGCCCUUGUUCCUCCCUUUAUUUUCAAACAUUCUGUUUGGAUUAGGUACAAAAGGAGGGAUAAGGGGAUUAUCCCCCCUCUUGUACCGAAACACUAAUCAUCCAAAUACUAUUUACCUUAUUCCUAGAAACAACCCAAUUUUCAUCCAAACGUACACUACAACAAAAACGGUCUAUAGCGACACUUUUAAAUAUAGGUACAUAUCAAAAAAGUGCUGCUAGCUAAAAUUACCAACACUUUUAAAAAGUGUUGCUAUAUGUGGGGUCGCUAGAUAUAUAGUGACAGUUAAAGAGUGUCGCUAUAAUCUAAAAAAGUGCUGCUAAUUUACCAACACUUAUUUAAGUAUUUAGCAACCGCCGAAACUCUAUCUCGUUAGCUGCGGUAGCGGAGGAGGACGACAGGAAAGGCUCUUCGUCUAGAAUUUCAGUGGAUUGAGUAAAGAGAGAAGAAAAGAUGAUAAUUGAUUUUUCUUUUUUUUUUUCUUUUCUGUUUGUAAUCGGGCCAAAUGGACUGGGUGUGGUGGGUUGAAUAGAGUAAUCUUUUAUUUUUUGUUGGAUUGGGCUUUAUAUUUAGGAAUUAGUAGAUAUUUUUUUAAGUUUUAAGAUAAAUGGGACACUUUACUCAAAAGUGUUCCAAACAUGUAUCCCUAUAACCUAAUUCUGUUGUAGUGGUAAAAUUGGUCUAAUUCCUACAAAUGCAAUUUAAGGUUUUGGGCCAUGCAUGCACGUGAACAUUAUUCGGCAUCCAAAUUCCCAGGAAAAAGAAGAAAAAAAAGAAAGAUUCGGAGAGUUCUACUUUUUUUUUGUGGGGGCAUGCACUGAUUAUUAUUAAUAUUCAUAAUGCGGCCGACGCAAGUGUUACAGUCUCCGACUGUUGAAUAUGAUAUGGCUCUACUUGGGCUGAUUAAUAGGUGUCUGGCCAUUCCACUGCGCGCCAGAGAGGAGAAACCACGUGUCGUCGUGCUCAACUGUAUUUUUUUUAUAAAUUAAUCUUCUAAAAUUUUAAAAUUUAUAAAAUAAUUAUUCUAAAAUUAUAUUUGUAAAACUAACUCCUCUUUCGCCAUGCAGGCGUGAGGAAAAAUUUUUCUUAUAAAAGCGGUAAAUCGUUCAUCGCCUUCAAUAAGACGGUGAAUGACUCACCGUCUUACUAAUAUAAUUAGCAAAGGUAGUGAAAAUGGCCCAUCAUUUUUUGCUUAUUUAAUAUUUUUUUCUAUAUCUUAUAUAUAAUCUUAACAACCACAUAAAAAUUAUAACAAAUUACAUAUAAUUUUAACAACCUAAAAAUCUUAAUAAUCUAUCAAUACAAUCCUAAUAAUCCAAUAAAAAUUCUAAUAAUCCAAGUAUAAUCCUAAAAAUCUCACUUUUUCCUAUUUUUCAUCUAACAACCUCACAUUUUCCUAUACGUGGAUUAUAUGAAAAAUAGAAAAAAAUUUGAGGUUGUCAAAUGAAAAAUAGAAAAACUGAGGUUGUUAGAAUUAUACGUGGAUUAUAUGGGAAAUAGAAAAAAAGUGAAGCUCUAGAUGGAAAAUAGAAAAAAGUGAGGUUUUAGCAUGCGUAGAUUAUUGAAAUUUUUAUUUGAUUGUUAGAAUUGUAUAAAUAGAUUAUUAGGAUUUUGAGGUUAUUAAGAUUAUAUGUGAUCUGUUAUAAUUUUUAUAUUAGAAUUGUAUGAAUAGAUUAUUAGGACUUUCAGGUAGUUAAGAUUAUAUGUGAUUUAUUGUGAUUUUUAUGUGAUUGUUAAGAUUAUAUAUGAGAUAUAAAAAAAAUAUUAAAUAGGCAAAAGACGGUAAACCAUUUAUCGUCUUUGCUAAUUAUAUUAGUAAGUCGGUGAAUCGUACGUUCACCGCUUUCAUAAAAAAAAAUCAACUCCUAUGCCUAGGUGAAAGGAGGGUUAGUUUUACAAAUAUAAUUUUGGAAGAGUUAUUUUGCAAAUUUCAAAAUUCUAGAGGGUUAGUUCAUAAAAAAGUCCUACUCAACUAGUGAAGUUACACACACGUUGCAGCAGACUGAUGCUAUAAAAGAUAAAAAAAAUUGAUAAAAUAAAAAGUUUUAAAAUUUUUUGACUUGUCGUGAAAAAUCAAUAAAUACAAAUAUAAGAUAUGAAAUAGAUACACAAAAUUUAUAAUAUUAGCAAAUAAAUUACACAUAAUAAUAAUAAAAGAAACAACAAUAGAACACUACUCCAUAUGCAUAAGGGCCUGUUUGGUCUAGCUUUUGAAAAAGUGAUUUCUGAAAAAGUGAUUUUGGUUUGGAAAAAUGAUUUUGGUGAAAAGCUGUAGAGCGUUUGGCUGAGUUUAAAUAAAAAUGAUUUUUCUGAAGUGAUUUUGAAAAGCUGUUUGGCAAAAUUUUUUUUAUUUUGCAUAAAUUAAUAUUUUUAUUAAAUUUUAAUUUAAAAUAAUUUAAAAUCUAAAUUUAAAUUUGAAUUCAAAUUAAAAUUUUUAAAUUUCAAAAAUGCACAAAAUUUAAAAUUUGAUAUUUUAAUUUAAAAAAUAAUUUAAAAUUUUAAAAAUUUCAAAUUUAAAAUAAUUAUGAAAUUUAAAAUUUAAAAAUAUAAUUAUAAAUUUAAAAAUAUAUAUAAUUAUGAAUUUUAAAAUAUAAAAUUUUAAUAUAUAAAAAUAAAAAUUAAAAUUAAAUUAAAUUUAAAAGUAAUAUAUAAAAUUUAAAAAUUAAAAAUUAAAAAUUUAAAUUUAAAUUUAAAAUAUAAUAAUUAUGAAAUUAAAUAUAAAAUAUUAAUACUAAAUAUAUUUAAAUUCAAAGUUUAAAUUUAAAUUUAAAUUUAAAUAAUUAUGAAUUUUAAUUUUAAAUUUUAAAUUUUUAAUUUGAAUAUUUAAUUUAAAUUUAAAAUUUAAAAAUUAAAAUUAAAUUUUAAAAUUUAAAAUAUAUAAUUUGAAGAUUAAAUAAUAAUUUAAAAUUUAAAAUUUUAAAUUUUUAAAUUAAAUUUUAAAAUCUAAAAUGUCUAAUUUUAAAACUUAUCGUAAAUUUGAAAUUUGAAAUUUAAAAUUUAAAAAUUUAAAAUUUAAAGUUUGAAAUCUAUUUUUCAAAAUUUGAAAUUUAAAAAUUAAAAUUUAAAAAUUUAAAAAUGAAUCUGAAAAUUAAAAUUUAAAAUUAAAAUUAAAUUUAAAUUUAAAUAUUGAUUUUAAAAUUAAAAUAAAAAUUUGAAGUUUGAGUUCAAAAUCAGAAUCAGAUUUUAAGAAGCAGCUUUUUUUUUACUUCUGAUUCUGGGCCUUCAAAAUCAGUUUUCGGAUUCUAGAAAGCAUAAUCAGAUUUUAAAAGUGAGGUUGCCAAACACUCUAUUAAGCCGAAAAUCACUUUUCAACCUAACAGCUCUUUUUAGAAGCUAGGCCAAAUACCCCCUUAAUUGCAAUUCUCCACAUUACAUUUGCCGCCUUUGUUAGCGUCGAGCUUCUCUUUAGUCACGGUCACGUCGAUCACGUACAGAUCUCCCCAGACCUACCACUUCUUUCCACUCAUCAACUCCAAAUUCAUUGCUACUUUCUCCCACUGUGUCGCACCGCAAUUCUCAUAACCCUAAUUUCAUCCCUACCCAAUUUUUUAAAAAAGAGUAAUUAUAUGUAAGGACUGAGAUUUUGACAGUGUAUCUAAACUCUC
rnacentral:lncRNA from 1 species